rnacentral:rRNA from 1 species
GAAGGUUGACCGGAAGGACAGCUGGAGCGCUUAGAAGUGAGAAUGCCGGUAUGAGUAGCGAAAGACGGGUGAGAAUCCCGUCCACCGUAUGCCUAAGGUUUCCUGGGGAAGGCUCGUCCUCCCAGGGUUAGUCAGGACCUAAGCCGAGGCCGACAGGCGUAGGCGAUGGACAACAGGUUGAUAUUCCUGUACCACCUCAUUUCCGUUUGAGCGAUGGAGGGACGCAGAAAGAUAGGGUAAGCGCGCUGCUGGAUAUGCGCGUCCAAGCAAUUAGGCUAGUGAGUAGGCAAAUCCGCUCACUGUUAGGCUGAGUUGUGAUGGCGAGGGAAAUAUAGUACCGAAGUUCCUGAUUCUACGCUGCCAAGAAAAGCUUCUAGCGAGGAAAUAGGUGCCUGUACCGCAAACCGACACAGGUAGGCGAGGAGAGAAUCCUAAGGUGUGCGAGAGAACUAUGGUUAAGGAACUCGGCAAAAUGACCCCGUAACUUCGGGAGAAGGGGUGCUCUUUUGGGUGUAUGCCCGGGAGAGCCGCAGUGAAAAGGCCCAAGCGACUGUUUAGCAAAAACACAGGUCUCUGCGAAGCCGUAAGGCGAAGUAUAGGGGCUGACGCCUGCCCGGUGCUGGAAGGUUAAGAGGAGGGGUUAUCCCUUACGGGAGAAGCUCUGAAUUGAAGCCCCAGUAAACGGCGGCCGUAACUAUAACGGUCCUAAGGUAGCGAAAUUCCUUGUCGGGUAAGUUCCGACCCGCACGAAAGGCGUAACGAUUUGGGCACUGUCUCAACCAUAGACUCGGUGAAAUUAUAGUACCUGUGAAGAUGCAGGUUACCCGCGACAGGACGGAAAGACCCCGUGGAGCUUUACUGCAGCUUGAUAUUGAAUUUUGGUACAGCUUGUACAGGAUAGGUAGGAGCCUGUGAAGCCGGAGCGCCAGCUUCGGUGGAGGCAUUGGUGGGAUACUACCCUGGCUGUAUUGAAAUUCUAACCUAGAGCCGUUAUCCGGCUCGGAGACAGUGUCAGGUGGGCAGUUUGACUGGGGCGGUCGCCUCCUAAAGAGUAACGGAGGCGCCCAAAGGUUCCCUCAGAAUGGUUGGAAAUCAUUCGAAGAGUGUAAAGGCAUAAGGGAGCUUGACUGCGAGACCUACAAGUCGAGCAGGGACGAAAGUCGGGCUUAGUGAUCCGGUGGUUCCGCAUGGAAGGGCCAUCGCUCAACGGAUAAAAGCUACCCCGGGGAUAACAGGCUUAUCUCCCCCAAGAGUCCACAUCGACGGGGAGGUUUGGCACCUCGAUGUCGGCUCAUCGCAUCCUGGGGCUGUAGUCGGUCCCAAGGGUUGGGCUGUUCGCCCAUUAAAGCGGUACGCGAGCUGGGUUCAGAACGUCGUGAGACAGUUCGGUCCCUAUCCGUCGUGGGCGCAGGAAAUUUGAGAGGAGCUGUCCUUAGUACGAGAGGACCGGGAUGGACAUACCGCUGGUGUACCAGUUGUUCUGCCAAGAGCAUCGCUGGGUAGCUAUGUAUGGACGGGAUAAGUGCUGAAAGCAUCUAAGCAUGAAGCCCCCCUCAAGAUGAGAUUUCCCAUAGCGUAAGCUAGUAAGACCCCUGAGAGAUGAUCAGGUUGAUAGGUCAGAGGUGGAAGCGUGGUGACACGUGGAGCUGACUGAUACUAAUCGGUCGAGGACUUAACUAA